rnacentral:misc_RNA from 1 species
GUGAAUCAUCAAAUCUUUGAACGCAAAUUGCGCUUCUUGGCAUCCCGGGAAGUAUGCCUGUUUGAGGAUCGAUAUUACUACUACAGCGGUAUAGUGAGAAAUUGUGACGUGUCCGGAGUAUGGGCUAUGUUAACAUUUUUGGUUAAGAGGCUUAAAUUUGCCCUUUAUUGCGCGUUUUUAGACGUACAUAAAUUUUUUUUAUUCGUCUAUUCUUAAUGCCGAAAUCUUAUUAGGUGCGAUCACCUCGUGUGGCUUCGUGUCCAUACAAUUUUCAUGAUUUGAGCUCAAUUCAGGUAGU